GACGAACGCUGGCGGCGUGCUUAACACAUGCAAGUCGAACGGAAAGGCCCUGCUUUUGUGGGGUGCUCGAGUGGCGAACGGGUGAGUAACACGUGAGUAACCUGCCCUUGACUUUGGGAUAACUUCAGGAAACUGGGGCUAAUACCGGAUAGGAGCUCCUGCUGCAUGGUGGGGUUGGAAAGUUUCGGCGGUUGGGGAUGGACUCGCGGCUUAUAAGCUUGUUGGUGGGGUAGUGGCUUACCAAGGCUUUGACGGGUAGCCGGCCUGGGAGGGUGACCGGCCACAUUGGGACUGAGAUACGGCCCAGACCCCUACGGGAGGCAGCAGUGGGGAAUAUUGCACUAUGGGCGGAAGCCUGAUGCAGCAACGCCGCGUGCGGGAUGACGGCCUUCGGGUUGUAAACCGCUUUCGCCUGUGACGAAGCGUGAGUGACGGUAAUGGGUAAAGAAGCACCGGCUAACUACGUG
rnacentral:rRNA from 1 species